AUGAUAAUGGGUUAGGUAAAUGUUUUAUGAUAAUGUAUUAGGUAAAUGUUUCAUGAUAAUGGGUUAGGUAAAUGUUUCAUGAUAAGAAUUUCAUGUCUUUUGUAUUAAAGAAUUAAAUGGAUGAAAUAUGAAGUUUUAUUAAAGAAAAAGGGGUGAAAAGAACAAAGUUUUGUCCAUCUUUGUUCAUCAUAGCUGAAAGUUAGAGAAGAGAAAGAAGAGGAGAAAGCUCUUGAGUAUUUGGUCAUUAGGAGGAGGAAAAUUGAAGGCGGUUCGUGUGUGGAUCUCGUCAACAUAUCGUCGCAAACAGGUGUGUAACUAACACCCUCUUUCUUAGUCUGGAUCGGCAAAAGUCGAAAAGUCGAAAUGCCGAAAACCGGUAUUUUGUAGAUUUGCGAGUGUGCGAAUGUUCGUGAGGAAAUCCCCAACCAUAGUGGGCUUGGAGUUGUGAGGGAAUUCGGAGUGGCCACCCGUUCUGAAAGUUUGAUUUUCUUCUGGUGAACUGGACAUCCUUUUAAUUACGUUUGUGGUUUUGGGCUUUUAAAUGUAAUAAGGCCGCUUAUUUAUUUUUGGUGGUUUUUAAUAUGUAUUAGUAAGAUAGGUAAUACUUAUUUUAACUGUUGAAAUUGGAUAGCUUUAGGGCGCGUUUUCAAAAACAA